CAAGAAAUAGUUUAAAAAAAAUUUUAAUUUUGGGAAUUAAAGAUAAAGAAAUUUCUUUUUUCUUGA
rnacentral:tRNA from 1 species